UACGGAGGGAGCUAGCGUUAUUCGGAAUUACUGGGCGUAAAGCGCACGUAGGCGGCUUUGUAAGUAAGAGGUGAAAGCCCAGAGCUCAACUCUGGAAUUGCCUUUUAGACUGCAUCGCUUGAAUCAUGGAGAGGUCAGUGGAAUUCCGAGUGUAGAGGUGAAAUUCGUAGAUAUUCGGAAGAACACCAGUGGCGAAGGCGACUAACUGGACAUGUAUUGACGCUGAGGUGCGAAAGCGUGGGGAGCAAACAGG
rnacentral:rRNA from 1 species